rnacentral:rRNA from 1 species
UACGUAGGGUGCAAGCGUUAAUCGGAAUUACUGGGCGUAAAGCGUGCGCAGGCGGUUCGCUAAGACAGAUGUGAAAUCCCCGGGCUUAACCUGGGAACUGCAUUUGUGACUGGCGGGCUAGAGUAUGGCAGAGGGGGGUAGAAUUCCACGUGUAGCAGUGAAAUGCGUAGAGAUGUGGAGGAAUACCGAUGGCGAAGGCACGCCCCGUGGGCCAAUACUGACGCUCAUGCAACG